rnacentral:rRNA from 1 species
AUUGAACGCUGGCGGCAUGCCUUACACAUGCAAGUCGAACGGCAGCACGGGCUUCGGUCUGGUGGCGAGUGGCGAACGGGUGAGUAAUGUAUCGGAACGUACCUUUCAGUGGGGGAUAACGUAGCGAAAGUUACGCUAAUACCGCAUAUUCUGUGAGCAGGAAAGCAGGGGAUCGCAAGACCUUGCGCCGAUUGAGCGGCCGAUAUCAGAUUAGCUAGUUGGUGGGGUAAAGGCCUACCAAGGCGACGAUCUGUAGCGGGUCUGAGAGGAUGAUCCGCCACACUGGAACUGAGACACGGUCCAGACUCCUACGGGAGGCAGCAGUGGGGAAUUUUGGACAAUGGGGGCAACCCUGAUCCAGCCAUGCCGCGUGAGUGAAGAAGGCCUUCGGGUUGUAAAGCUCUUUCGGCCGGGAAGAAAUCGCAUGGGCUAAUAUCCUGUGUGGAUGACGGUACCGGAAUAAGAAGCACCGGCUAACUACGUGCCAGCCGCCGCUGUAA